rnacentral:rRNA from 1 species
GUCCACGCCGUAAACGAUGUCUACUAGCAGCUCGCCUCGUUAGAGGGGUUUUGCGCAGCUAACGCGUUAAGUAGACCGCCUGGGGAGUACGGCCGCAAGGUUAAAACUCAAAUGAAUUGACGGGGGCCCGCACAAGCGGUGGAGCAUGUGGUUUAAUUCGAUGCAACGCGAAGAACCUUACCUACACUUGACAUGCUGAGAAGUUACUAGAGAUAGUUUCGUGCCUUCGGGAACUCAGACACAGGUGCUGCAUGGCU